GAUGGAGAGAGGUAUAACAGAAAGAGAUGGAGAGAGGUACAACAGAAAGAGAUGGAGAGAGGUAUAACAGAAAGAGAUGGAGAGAGGUAUAACAGAAAGAGAUGGAGAGAGGUAUAACAGAAAGAGAUGGAGAGAGGUACAACAGAAAGAGAAAGAGAUGGAGAGAGGUACAACAGAAAGAGAA